rnacentral:misc_RNA from 1 species
GUUUGUAAACUGUAUCGGAACCAAUGCAUUUCUAUUUGCAAUAUUUUUGUAAUAAUAUACCAAUCGAGUUCGUCAAACAAGUUAAAAGAGCGUUUGAUUCGAUAUUUUUUUUUUCAGAAGUAUGGCGGUUUACGUAAAAAAAUGUGUACUUAUAUAGCUUAAAGAAAAUUUGUAUAGUCAAUUUAACCUUUAUAGAUUUAAAUAGCGUUUUAAAUGUUUACUUAAUGAUCGAAGAAUAAUUUUAUAUGUAGAUUUUGUACUUACUUAUAAAUGUUAAUUAACAGUUUUGUAAAUAUUGUGAUACAGCAAAACAGCAGCGGAAAAAAUAAAAAAGAAUGAUAAAAAUUAAAAAUGUUAAUAAUUUUCCUAUGAUUUUUAAAUCGCCAUAUUAAUGCCAAAAAAUCCUUUUCAG